AUUGGCAAUUUAACAAAGAAAAACCCCGGUGCAGUUGCACACUUGAUCUUGGAGGGUGGCCUAACAAAGAAUACUAACAAAGAAGAUUAACCUAGCUCUGCUUGAAUAUACUUUUAGAUUUCAAGUUACCGUAAUUUGACUACAGCAAAGUCGACUUGAAAAAGAUGACUCACAACCGUAAUCUUUCAAAGGUCGAGGUGGAGGAAGCUUUCAAGAAAAUGAAGACAUUUUCCAAUGACGAGAUUGACGCCGCUGAUGUGGACCUAUUACUCAAAACCUUGGCCUACACUUGCACCGAAGAACAGAUGAACGCAUACCUCAAACUUUUGAGUGACUGACAAAUUUAGUUUGGACUUGGCCAUCGCUGUUCUUGGAAAAGUUGAUGACACGAAAGCAUUAAUGAAAAUCCAUGUUACCACACUUGACCGAGAUAAGGACGGAUUUAUUGACGAAUCCGAGUUCAAAUGUAUCGUAGCAAUGUUGUUAAUUCAUGACCCAUCCUUCCCAACGGUAAACUAUAAAACCUUUGUGGAGGAGGCGGACACAAAUAAAGACGGAAAGGUGAGCAUUGACGAAGCUGUGGAAUGGUUUAGCAAAAAUGCGAACAAUUAAGGAUUUUCAGAUGGAUUGAGUUAGUAAAUGUGUAAAAACGCUUUAAAUAUUUAAAUUUCAUUUGUGCGUUUCAAAUUGUGGUUUAAAAAAAUUCAAAAUAUGAAAAUCCUCGCUGUAUUUUAAAUCUGUAACUAGAACAUCAAAUUUUAUGAAUCUAAAGUAUCUAUCUGUCAACGACGCCCUUGAAAUAACAGAUUUAUGUAUGUAAGUUUACCCAUAGUGCACAUGUUUAUGAACAGGCGAGAAAUUUUCCAAUGAUGUGAAGUCUUAUUAAAUGUGGUAUUGUUAUGUACGAAAGCUAUAAUAUAAUACAUAUGAGAUUUGUAUGAAUAAUUGGCCGCAACUAACCUUAAAUUGAAAUAAAUAAUUUUUAAAUGAAAAA